rnacentral:rRNA from 1 species
UACAGAGGGGGCAAGCGUUGUUCGGAAUUACUGGGCGUAAAGGGCGCGUAGGCGGUCUGCUAAGCGUGCGGUGAAAGCCUGGGGCUCAACCCCAGGUCUGCCGUGCGAACUGGUGGACUAGAGCACUGUAGAGGCAGGUGGAAUUUCGGGUGUAGCGGUGGAAUGCGUAGAGAUCCGAAAGAACACCGGUGGCGAAGGCGGCCUGCUGGGCAGUUGCUGACGCUGAGGCGCGACAGCGUGGGGAGCAAACAGG